UUGGAAAUUCUUCAAAUACGGAUUCCUCGAAGCAGGCUGCCUCCCUCUGCCAUUUGUUUUUAAUGCCAAUUACACUUAAUGAAUAUGGCCAUCUAACCCUCUGCAGUGAACUCUGGGCAGUAAACAAUAAUCCAAAGGGUUUAAGAACAAUUGCAACUGCCAAGAUGACCCAAAUAAACCUCCUUCAUCUUACUGAUGAGACACAAAUAGACAACAGACAGACACUCUUUGCUGUGCCCAGAGAAAGAAAUAUCUGCCGCUACCUAGGAUUGAACUCACAGCUUCCGGAUUGUGAGGUGAGACCUCUACCCCUAGGCCACCAAAGCACUCUAGGUCAAUCUUA